UACGUAUGUGGCAAGCGUUGUCCGGAUUUACUGGGCGUAAAGAGCGCGCAGGCGGUCGUGCAAGUCGCGUGUGAAAGCCCCCGGCUCAACUGGGGAGGGUCACGCGAUACUGCUCGACUCGAAGGCAGGAGAGGGAAGUGGAAUUCCCGGUGUAGUGGUGAAAUGCGUAGAUAUCGGGAGGAACACCAGUGGCGAAGGCGACUUCCUGGCCUGUUCUUGACGCUGAGGCGCGAAAGCUAGGGUAGCAAACGGG
rnacentral:rRNA from 1 species